rnacentral:misc_RNA from 1 species
AACUUUCGGCAACGGUUCACUUGGUUCUGGCAUCGAUGAAGAACGCAGCGAAAUGCGAUAAGUAAUGUGAAUUGCAGAAUUCAGUGAAUCAUCGAAUCUUUGAACGCACAUUGCGCCCCUUGGUAUUCCGAGGGGCAUGCCUGUUCGAGCGUCAUUAUAACCACUCAAGCCUCGGCUUGGUCUUGGGGUUCGCGGUCUCGCGGCUCUUAAAAUCAGUGGCAGUGCCGUCUGGCUCUAAGCGUAGUAAUUCUCUCGCUAUAGAGUUCCGGUGGUUACUUGCCAAAACCCCUAAUUUUUUAACGGUUGACCUCGGAUCAGGUAGGGAUACCCGCUGAACUUAAGCAUAUCAAUAAGCGGAGGAU